AACGCACAUUGCGCCCUUUGGUAUUCCGAAGGGCAUGCCUGUUCGAGCGUCAUGAUCAACCCUAAAGCUUUGGCUUUGUUAUUGAGAUUUAUAACUUCUAGGUUAUAAACUUGAAAGAUAUUGGCAGAGUUGAUUUGAACUGAGAAUGCAACGAGCUUUUAACAAAGCAAGCAUUAUCAUUUUAAAACGGAUUCUUGUCUUGAACUACAUCUUUUUUACAAGGUUGACCUCGGAUCAGGUAGGAAUACCCGCUGAACUUAA
rnacentral:misc_RNA from 1 species